rnacentral:RNase_P_RNA from 1 species
GCAGAAGGCUGGACGGCCGCGCGGGGCGCGCAAGCGCCCCUCGAGGAAAGUCCGGACUCCAUGAAGCAACGGUGCCGGGUAACGCCCGGGCGGGGAAACCCGACGGAAAGCGCCACAGAAAACAAACCGCCCGCCGGACCGGAGGUCCGCCAAAGGAGCAUCCGCGCGGGUAAGGGUGAAACGGUGGGGUAAGAGCCCACCGCGCUGCUGGCAACAGCGGCGGCACGGCAAGCCCCACCGGGAGCAAUGCCAAAUAGGGCCCCCGCGCGGGCAGGUCCCGGGCAACCGGGAAACCGCCGCUAGGUUCGCUUCAGCCGAGAGGGGCCGGGUUGGCAGCUUGAGCGGCGCAGCAAUGCGCCGCCUAGAUGAAUGGCCGUCGAGCCCGGGAUUACGGUCCCGGGGGGACAGGAUCCGGCUUACAGGCCUUCUGCGCAU